AUACAGAGGGUGCAAGCGUUAUCCGGAAUCAUUGGGUUUAAAGGGUCCGUAGGCGGGCUAAUAAGUCAGGGGUGAAAUCCCACAGCUUAACUGUGGAACUGCCCUUGAUACUGUUGGUCUUGAGUUACAGUGAAGUGGUUAGAAUGUGUAGUGUAGCGGUGAAAUGCAUAGAGAUUACACAGAAUACCGAUUGCGAAGGCAGAUCACUAACUGUAUACUGACGCUAAUGGACGAAAGCGUGGGGAGCGAACAGGAUUAGAAACCCUUGUAGUCC
rnacentral:rRNA from 1 species